rnacentral:piRNA from 1 species
UGGAGACAGAAUGGGUCGCUGGAAGAAGGU